rnacentral:rRNA from 1 species
AUUGAACGCUGGCGGCAGGCCUAACACAUGCAAGUCGAGCGGAUGAAGGGAGCUUGCUCCUGGAUUCAGCGGCGGACGGGUGAGUAAUGCCUAGGAAUCUGCCUGGUAGUGGGGGAUAACGUCCGGAAACGGGCGCUAAUACCGCAUACGUCCUGAGGGAGAAAGUGGGGGAUCUUCGGACCUCACGCUAUCAGAUGAGCCUAGGUCGGAUUAGCUAGUUGGUGGGGUAAAGGCCUACCAAGGCGACGAUCCGUAACUGGUUUGAGAGGAUGAUCAGUCACACUGGAACUGAGACACGGUCCAGACUCCUACGGGAGGCAGCAGUGGGGAAUAUUGGACAAUGGGCGAAAGCCUGAUCCAGCCAUGCCGCGUGUGUGAAGAAGGUCUUCGGAUUGUAAAGCACUUUAAGUUGGAAGGAAGGGCAGUAAGUUAAUACCUUGCUGUUUUGACGUUACCAACAGAAUAAGCACCGGCUAACUUCGUG